rnacentral:lncRNA from 1 species
CUUUUGAAUAAAAAGCACACUUUGAUGAGUUGCCAAUAUAAUCUGACCAAGAUUGUAAGUUUAUAUCUGUAAGUCUCUGUUUAAAUAAAUGUAAAAACAAUUUUGCAUCUCCAACACUUUGACUUUCCCAUACAACACACAAAUCCAUUUGAAAAUAAUAGUCUUUGCACUUUAGAACACCAAUUUAAACGUCCAUGUUCAUUCAUUUUAUACAUCAUACGAUAGCAUAGUUUUGGAAGUCUGUUAUCAUCCAUGCAUUGUAAGUGUAGAAAAUACUUAAUAGGUUUACACACAUAAUUUAUAUAUAGUUCAUGACGGCCACAUUCACCUCUUGCUAUGUGAUUAUUAGUCUUUUGGCCCAUUCCAAGUAGCCAUUUACAAAAUUUAUUUUGAACAGUUUCAAUGUCUUUCACUUUCUCUGUUCCCCAUAAUUCUGCACCAUAAUAAAGAAUUGGAGCAACCAUAGAGUCAAAUAACUUAAAUCCAAGAUUUAUAUCUCUAGUUCCAAGUUUACAC